GAAUUUCUGCUUACAUUUAGAUAAAGCAAGAGAAGACGUGUUUGGAUCUUAUAUCCCACCUAGGCAGAAGAAGAAAUGCAGCACAGGAAGCAGUUGGCUGCAGAAUAUGAGGAAUGUGUGAACAAACAGAUGCAGUUACUGCAGCAUGAUCUGAAAUGCCAGGAAGAGCAUUAUGUCACGUUCAAUUCUGCCCUGCGAGAGGCAGUGAGGUUGGCAGAGAUGCUGACAAAUAAGAUGGCUUGUAAAAGAAGCCCAACCACUUGGUCCCAGCCAGACUGUAAAAGCCUGUUAGCCCAGAUAGAUGCUGCAAGCAACAGGAUGUCAAGCUUAAUAAUAACAGAGAGCCACCGCCUGAAAGCAUGGGGAGUGCUGGGUGAAGGAACAGGAGCUCACCUUCUUAACAAAGAUAAAACCAGGAUCCUUACCAAACAGGAGCUUGUGGGUAACUACAACCUCUAGAAAUUCUUUUCAAAAUGAUGCUAGAAUGUAAGGAAGUGUAGUCAGGAAGGUGCACAUCUGCUCCUCUUGAUGCUUUAAUAAAUAGGUGACAAAAGCACCA
rnacentral:lncRNA from 1 species